ACAAGGACAGGGCAUGCGACAUUGUGACGCCUUCAACAUCGUCACGUGGCCUAUUCCAGCAUCCACUCCACAGCCUCCUUUCUUCCUCUCCCCACCUCGACCUGCCUGUACUGAGAGAUGGCGAGCUUAACCCAUUACUGAGUCCAUAACCUUUGACCCCUCUGACCGCUUAGAUCAGCUGAGGGCCCCAACACUCCAGUGGUCACAGAUAUUCACGAUGGAAAAAAAAGAAGAAGAAGAAGAAGAAAGCGCUCUUAGGAAACGCGAGGAUGAUGAGAGAGGAGCCAGAGACUUGUGCUGAUUAGCGGGGAGGCUCGCUCAUCAAAUAAACACUGUUGACCAUCAGGAACAGGAGGAUAUUAUGAGCAUAUUGAUAUCAUGUCAAGAGUAAGCCCCUUAAG